AGUGUUACCAACAAGAAGUCUGUCAGUACCUCAAGCAGAAGAGACUAAAAAACUAAACUGGGACCUUGUUUCAUCUCUACCCAGGUCAUCUCUCUGAGCUCCAAGGCUCUCAGCACUCCUCCUCUCUUGGCCAGGCAGCAAGACACCAUUCACUGUGCCCACAGGUCUCUGAGUGCAGUACAGGGGCUCCCUAGUCUGGGAAGCAACCAUGCAAGGCCCUUGUUGAGUGAAGCUGGAAGAAACGGAGCCAACUUCCCAGUAACAUAAGACAAGAAGAUCAUGGUGUCAGAAAGACUUACAUAUUUCAGUCACGUUAGACCCUGUUAGUUUGGCCUGUGAAGUACUAAGAAGAGCAUCCUGUUAGCUUGGGACAGCGGCUAGCAGAAAUGAAUGGCAAUGUUGCAUGAACACUUGAAUUUAAAUCAACCAAGGAAGUUAAAACUAUAAAAUCAAUAUUGUGUUCUCACUCUACACUGAUAUCCU